GUUGGUGAACCAGCGGAGGGAUCAUUACAGAGUUGCAAAACUCCCAACCAUUGUGUAUCUACCUCACCGUUGCUUCGGCGGGUGGCCUGCAAACCAGGCCGCGCCGGCCCCUUCCAGGGGCCGGCAGCCCGUCAGAGGCCCGAAACUCUUCGUCAUUAUAGGCCUCUCUGAGUAACUUAUACAAUAAGUCAAAACUUUCAACAACGGAUCUCUUGGUUCU
rnacentral:misc_RNA from 1 species